AUUGAACGCUGGCGGCAGGCCUAACACAUGCAAGUCGAGCGGCGGCGACUUAACUGAACCUUCGGGGAACGUUAAGGGCGGCGAGCGGCGGACGGGUGAGUAAUGCCUGGGAAUAUGCCUCAGUGUGGGGGAUAACUAUUGGAAACGAUAGCUAAUACCGCAUAAUCUCCGAUCUUUUACGAGAUGGGAGCAAAGCGGGGGACCUUCGGGCCUCGCGCGCUGAGAUUAGCCCAGGUGGGAUUAGCUUGUUGGUGAGGUAAUGGCUCACCAAGGCAACGAUCCCUAGCUGGUCUGAGAGGAUGAUCAGCCACACUGGAACUGAGACACGGUCCAGACUCCUACGGGAGGCAGCAGUGGGGAAUAUUGCACAAUGGGGGAAACCCUGAUGCAGCCAUGCCGCGUGUGUGAAGAAGGCCUUCGGGUUGUAAAGCACUUUCAGUAGGGAGGAAGGUAGUGUAGUUAACACCUGCAUUAUUUGACGUUACCUACAGAAGAAGCACCGGCUAACUCCGUGCCAGCAGCCGCGGUAAUACGGAGGGUGCGAGCGUUAAUCGGAAUUACUGGGCGUAAAGCGCAUGCAGGCGGCCUGUUAAGUCAGAUGUGAAAGCCCGGGGCUUAACCUCGGAAUUGCAUUUGAAACUGGCAGGCUAGAGUCUUGUAGAGGGGGGUAGAAUUUCAGGUGUAGCGGUGAAAUGCGUAGAGAUCUGAAGGAAUACCAGUGGCGAAGGCGGCCCCCUGGACAAAGGCUGACGCUCAGAUGCGAAAGCGUGGGGAGCAAACAGG
rnacentral:rRNA from 1 species